UACGAAGGGGGCUAGCGUUGCUCGGAAUCACUGGGCGUAAAGCGCACGUAGGCGGGUUCUUAAGUCGGGGGUGAAAUCCUGGAGCUCAACUCCAGAACUGCCUUUGAUACUGGGAAUCUCGAGUCCGGGAGAGGUGAGUGGAACUGCGAGUGUAGAGGUGAAAUUCGUAGAUAUUCGCAAGAACACCAGUGGCGAAGGCGGCUCACUGGCCCGGUACUGACGCUGAGGUGCGAAAGCGUGGGGAGCAAACAGG
rnacentral:rRNA from 1 species